rnacentral:rRNA from 1 species
AAUGAAGGAAGCAGCGUGUUUUUGAAUCAGUCUUAAACGACAGGUAAUCCGUCUAACUUCUUUCGUGAUUGGGAUAGGUGCUUGCAAUUGUUCCCCUUGAAC